rnacentral:rRNA from 1 species
CUCGUAGGCGGUUCGUCGCGUCCGGUGUGAAAGUCCAUUGCUUAACGGUGGAUCUGCGCCGGGUACGGGCGGGCUGGAGUGCGGUAGGGGAGACUGAAAUUCCCGGUGUAACGGUGGAAUGUGUAGAUAUCGGGAAGAACACCAAUGGCGAAGGCAGGUCUCUGGGCCGUUACUGACGCUGAGGAGCGAAAGCGUGGGGAGCGGACA